AGCGUACCUGAAUCCAUAAGUGGAAAUCUUUAGUCCUUCUUGAAGAUUGUCCAAGGUGUGCCUUUAAGAAGCUCCUUGAUCCUUCAUUUAGGAUUGUCUUGAAGUUUUUGUUUUCACAAGAAUAUAUCCAAGCCCAAAAAUUGAGGAUUGGUUUUUCACUUGAUAUGCAAGACCAAAAUGCUCUCUAGUUUCAAUGGGAGGAAGAAGAGAAUGUCUUGCAUUCUUAUUGGAACCAU
rnacentral:lncRNA from 1 species